GAAGGCAUAGCUCAAGUGGUAGAGUGCAUGCUUAGCAUGCACAAGGCCCUAGGUUCAAUCCCCAGCGCCUCCU
rfam:Camelus ferus unplaced genomic scaffold scaffold132, whole genome shotgun sequence.